rnacentral:rRNA from 1 species
UUGAACGCUGGCGGAAUGCUUUACACAUGCAAGUCGAACGGCAGCACGGACUUCGGUCUGGUGGCGAGUGGCGAACGGGUGAGUAACAUAUCGGAACGUAUCCAAUAAUGGGGGAUAACUAAUCGAAAGGUUGGCUAAUACCGCAUACGCCCUACGGGGGAAAGCUAGGGACCUUCGGGCCUGGCGUUAAUGGAGCGGCCGAUAUCUGAUUAGCUAGUUGGUGGGGUAAAGGCCCACCAAGGCGGCGAUCAGUAGCUGGUCUGAGAGGACGACCAGCCACACCGGAAGUGAGACACGGUCCAGACUCCUACGGGAGGCAGCAGUGGGGAAUUUUGGACAAUGGGCGAAAGCCUGAUCCAGCCAUUCCGCGUGAGUGAAGAAGGCCUUCGGGUUGUAAAGCUCUUUCGCAAGGGAAGAAAACUUAUCCUCUAACAUAGGAUGAGGUUGACGGUACCUUGAUAAGAAGCACCGGCUAACUACGUGCCAGCAGCCGCGGUAAGACGUAGGUUGCAAGCGUUAUCCGGAAUUAUUGGGCGUAAAGAGUUCGUAGGUGGUUUGUUAAGUUGGAUGUUAAAGCCCAGGGCCCAACCCUGGACUGGUGUUCAAAACUGGCAAACUAGAGACAAGUAGAGGCAAGUAGAAUUCUGCAUGUAGGGGUAAUAUCCGUAGAUAUGCAGAGGAAUACCAAAAGCGAAGGCAGCUUGCUGGACUUGUUCCGACACUCAAGAACGAAAGCGUGGGGAGCAAACGGGAUUAGAUACCCCGGUAGUCCACGCCCUAAACGAUGAUCACUAGGUGUUG